ensembl:lncRNA
GAAUAAUUCCCCUCUCUUAAGGUGGUGACGUCGUUCACAUUUUGCCAGGGAAGGAAACUGAGGCCCAGAGUCACCUACAUAUGCAAAGUAAACUACUGCCAGUCAGGUUAAACCCUGCUUUCCUGCUUUAAUCCAACAGCUAAUGUCAGACACCCUGCAUCUUGAUGGAUGCAAACCCAAAGCCUGUCUGUCAAGGAGGAGUCCUCAUGCUUCAGCUUCCCAGAUGAAGACUUUGCCCCAUCUGUACUCUACUUGCUAAGACAGCCCACGUGUUUCCUAGUCCUGUUGAUUCUUCUGGGACAUUAAUCUUCUCUUUCUCUCUUCCGACUGGCAGUACCUGGUCCAUUGUUCAGCACCCCAUCCCAGAUUACCGGAGCACUUGCUUAGCAGGUCCCCCUGCUUCUGGUCUCUGUGACGUGCUGUUCACCCCACAUGAGAAGCUACCAACUUUCUCCCUGAAACACCCAUUUAUAAUGUUGCUCUCCUAUUGAGGAACCCAAACUGCUUACCCAGCCCAUAGAAACCCAACCCCUCUGCGCACGACUCACAUACUCAUCUCAGCUUAGCUCUCCCAGAACACCAGCCGGCAGCAAAGACAGGAGUGCUCUUCAUCGUCCCUUGUACAGAGUCUUUAGC